UUAAAAAAAAAUUUGUCUUGAAAAAUCAUGAAAAAUAAUUUUUUGUUGUGUUUUUUAGUUGCGAUGCUUUUAAUGUGUCUAAUUCAAGAUUCUGAUGCACUUCCUGCAGUAAAAACUGUUGAUGGUGCCGUUAAAGGAGCCGUCAAAGGAGCUGGAUUGUCCGGAACGCUCGAAGACGCUUUAAAACUUCUCGGAUAACAGAAUCUCUAAUUUUGUAAUUGCACCACAAUAGUUCUCCCCUUGAUAUUUUAAUUCAUUGUAAUCACAACAUGCACUCGAGCAAGUAAAACAUCUUCCUUCCGUCAUCAUUAUGACUUGCAACAUCGUCAUCGGAGGAUAUUAUGACAAGCAUAUCUAAUUUUUACUGUCUGUGUGUGGCAAAAGCGCAUCCAAGGGACAAAUCAAACAAAUUAUCACAAUGAAUGAAGUUACCGAGAUGAUGUGAUUAUAAAUAAAAAAGAAGAUGAA